UGAACCUUUUAAUUGUAGUUUCUUUCUGGAGUGUUAUCAGUUUAUUAGAGCAGUGUAGCGUUUAACGUGAAUUUAUUUUGGUAUUUCAAUUGGCUCCGUAGGCUCCGUAUGAAAAUGGAUCGUGAACUUGAGAUAAUCAUUCCAAGAUCGAAGAUAUACAGGAACGAAACGACGUCGUCGCCCCCGUAUUGAAGGUCCCAACUUGGUCUCUAUGGAUUAUUGGGUCGAUGCCUGGGACGAUUUACGACGUUGAAGUGAAAAAUGCGUUAUUUGUAGUCUCGUAACGGUCCAAGCCUUCGGAUCGUAUCGUCGGUGUACUCGAGUGUACGUUGCACGUCGACGUGUAUGGGAGCGGAAUUCGAUUGGCCAUAUAUACGAAGGCGGCUCAGCCCUCGCAGUACGUAAAUUUCGGCUCUGAAAGCUCUCGAAUGUGCACGCGAAUGCCCACAGCCACCCACGUACGAAAUGCCGCCAAGUCAUCAAAAUAGAGAAUAAGUUAUUGACAACUUCGUUCGUUGACCAAUUGACUCUUCAAUCUAUUACCACACAUUUAACAAACUCUGCUGACACCGUUUAUCACUUCCAAGUAGCGUUUUGCAAUUAUCGAAGACACAAAUUCUUUCCCCAGAUCCUUACAAAAACCAUAAAUAACUCAAAUCCUUAUGAGUAUUUAUAAACGAUCUUUAUACAUUUGAAAAAAUACUAAAAAUCAUUUUUGAGAACUUUUUGACAAGACUACCGAGCAAUGAAAUUGAAUGACAAAAUUUGAUCACGCAGACGCCCA
rnacentral:misc_RNA from 1 species